GAAUUAAUAACAGAUAUAUUUUUGUUGCCAUGCCGACGUAAACGUGCUGCCAAGGUAUUGCUUGAUGAACCUUCAAACUCAUGUUUGGACCCUUGCUUGCCAUUGCUGGAAGUUACAGGAAGUGGAGGAAAGGAAGAACCUGCCAAAGGUUUAGAGCUGUGCCCUAAGGCCUGAUUGCUUGAUGAACCUUCAAACUCAUGUUUGGACCCUUGCUUGCCAUUGCUGGAAGUUACGGGAAGUGGAGGAAAGGAAGAAUCUGCCAAAGGUUUAGAGCUGUGCCCUACGGCCUGACGGUAUCUUGAAGUUGAUUCAGAACCUGCCGUAGCUAAUGAUUCAAAUGGAUUGAUGAUGGAAUCAAUAUCUGCAUCCCUGUCAUCAUAAGAAAUUUGCCCAUUACUUGAAGUUGGCUCACG
rnacentral:lncRNA from 1 species